CCUCUGUUGUAACUUCUGAAACUCCUUGAAAAUGUUUCAAUUUAAUCUCCCUUCUUCACCAAAGUCUCAGUAAAUUUCCCAGGGCAGUCAUCCAGAAAAAAUCUCCUAGGAUGCGUACUUCUUUAAUACCAGAGCCCCCCUCCCACAAAUUUUCAAAUUCUACACCUACUGGUCCAUAAAUAGCUCCAGGAAUGUACAGAAUCUAAAGCCAUGAAUCCCUCUACCGGUGACAGUUGGCGUGGUUGGGGAACAGAAUCCUCUGUUUCAAUCUGUUUAGGAGCCAUCAUCCCAGCUCUGAAAGGGCCAUGGUAAAUGGGGCACACGUCACUUCUUCUGGGCUAAGAGAAUGGCAUCGGCACACUGCCUUGUGCAGGAGGCAGGACCUUUCCUAUCUAUGAGGGUUUUACAAUGUUCAUAUUGCUGCUGCUGAUCCAACAGAACCUCUCUUGGAAUUCGUAGAAAGAAAAACAGUGACCU
rnacentral:lncRNA from 1 species